AAGUCGGGACCGAAAAACAGGGACUCCAGGAGGAAGCACAGAGGGCCAAGGAGGCGCUUCGCUCUGCCAAGGAGGAGCGCAAACGUCAGGAAGGUCGCCUGAGGGAGAGGGAUAACGAAGCAGAGCAGAGGGAGGAGGAACUGGCAGAGGCCCGAAAGAGAGCCGAGGACCUCGAACACCAGCUGAAGAGAGCUGAGCAGAUGAGAAAGGAGAACGAGG
rnacentral:SRP_RNA from 1 species